CCUACGGGAGGCAGCAGUGGGGAAUAUUGCACAAUGGGGGAAACCCUGAUGCAGCGACGCCGCGUGAAGGAAGAAGUAUUUCGGUAUGUAAAGUUCUAUCAGCAGGGAAGAAAAUGACGGUACCUGACUAAGAAGCCCCGGCUAACUACGUGCCAGCAGCCGCGGUAAUACGUAGGGGGCAAGCGUUAUCCGGAUUUACUGGGUGUAAAGGGAGCGUAGGCGGGUUAGCAAGUCUGAAGUGAAAGCCCGGGGCCCAACUCCGGGACUGCUUUUGAAACUGUGUAACUGGAGUGCAGGAGAGGUAAGUGGAAUUCCUAGGGUAGCGGUGAAAUGCGUAGAUAUUAGGAGGAACACCAGCGGCGAAGGCGGCUUACUGGACUGUAAAUGACGCUGAGGCUCGAAGGCGUGGGGAGCAAACAGGAUUAGAUACCCCAGUAGUC
rnacentral:rRNA from 1 species